GGAGCUUGCUUCUCUGGAUGAGUUGCGAACGGGUGAGUAACGCGUAGGUAACCUGCCUGGUAGCGGGGGAUAACUAUUGGAAACGAUAGCUAAUACCGCAUAAGAGUAGAUGUUGCAUGACAUUUGCUUAAAAGGUGCAAUUGCAUCACUACCAGAUGGACCUGCGUUGUAUUAGCUAGUUGGUGGGGUAACGGCUCACCAAGGCGACGAUACAUAGCCGACCUGAGAGGGUGAUCGGCCACACUGGGACUGAGACACGGCCCAGACUCCUACGGGAGGGCAGCAGUAGGGAAUCUUCGGCAAUGGACGGAAGUCUGACCGAGCAACGCCGCGUGAGUGAAGAAGGUUUUCGGAUCGUAAAGCUCUGUUGUAAGAGAAGAACGAGUGUGAGAGUGGAAAGUUCACACUGUGACGGUAUCUUACCAGAAAGGGACGGCUAACUACGUGCCAGCAGCCGCGGUAAUACGUAGGUCCCGAGCGUUGUCCGGAUUUAUUGGGCGUAAAGCGAGCGCAGGCGGUUAGAUAAGUCUGAAGUUAAAGGCUGUGGCUUAACCAUAGUACGCUUUGGAAACUGUUUAACUUGAGUGCAAGAGGGGAGAGUGGAAUUCCAUGUGUAGCGGUGAAAUGCGUAGAUAUAUGGAGGAACACCGGUGGCGAAAGCGGCUCUCUGGCUUGUAACUGACGCUGAGGCUCGAAAGCAUGGGGAGCAAACAGGAUUAGAUACCCUGGUAGUCCACGCCGUAAACGAUGAGUGCUAGGUGUUAGACCCUUUCCGGG
rnacentral:rRNA from 1 species